GGAAUUGCUAGUAAUCACAGGUCAGCAUACUGUGGUGAAUACGUUCCCGGGCCUUGUACACACCGCCCGUCACACCAUGAGAGUUGAGAAUACCCGAAGUCCAUGUCAAAGUGGCCGAAGGUAGGCUUGAUGAUUGGGUGAAGUCGUAACAAGGUACC
rnacentral:rRNA from 1 species